UCUUAAGGACAAACAAAGAAAGUGGUUCCUUGAGAUGGAAUCUACUCCUGGUGAAGAUGCUAUGAA
rnacentral:pre_miRNA from 1 species